CUUAAAUAAUCUGAAGGGACGAUAAGACCCUAUAAAACUUUAUAUUGAAAAGUGGUAGGUAUGAUUUGUUUAAAGAUUAUUAUUUUAAAGUAUUUGGUUGGGGUGACAGAAAUAGAAWGGAAAGUAACUGUUUUUUUUUUUUACAGUGAUGUUUGAAUUAAUGAUCCUAAAAKGGAUUAAAAGAUUAAGUUACUUUAGGGAUAACAGCGUAAUUUUCUUUAAGAGUUCUUAUCGAUAAGAAAGUUUGCGACCUCGAUGUUGAAUUAAAGAUUCUUUAUGGAGUAGAGACUAUAAAAGAAGGUCUGUUCGACC
rnacentral:rRNA from 1 species